rnacentral:rRNA from 1 species
GACGAACGCUGGCGGCGUGCUUAACACAUGCAAGUCGAGCGGUAAGGCCCUUUCGGGGGUACACGAGCGGCGAACGGGUGAGUAACACGUGGGUGACCUGCCCUUAGCUCUGGGAUAAGCCUGGGAAACUGGGUCUAAUACCGGAUAUGACUCCAUGACGCAUGUUGUGGGGUGGAAAGCCUUGUGCGGCUAGGGAUGGGCCCGCGGCCUAUCAGCUUGUUGGUGGGGUGAUGGCCUACCAAGGCGACGACGGGUAGCCGGCCUGAGAGGGCGACCGGCCACACUGGGACUGAGACACGGCCCAGACUCCUACCGGGAGGCAGCAGUGGGGAAUCUUGCGCAAUGGGCGAAAGCCUGACGCAGCGACGCCGCGUGAGGGAUGACGGCCUCGGUUGUAA